rnacentral:rRNA from 1 species
UAGCCGCGGUAAUACCAGCUCCUCGAGUGGUUGGGGCGUUUAUUGGGCCUAAAGCAUCCGUAGCCGGCUCCAUAGGUCCUCCGUUAAAUUCAACGGCUCAACCGUUGAGCUGCGGGGGAUACCGUGGGGCGUAGGGAGCGGGAGAGGCGGACGGUACUCCGUGGGUAGGGGUAAAAGUACCUCUGAUCCUUGGAAGACCACCGGUGGCGAAGGC